UACCUGCAGCUCGAGUGGUAACCGCUUUUAUUGGGCCUAAAGCGUCCGUAGCCGGUUUAGUAAAUAUUUGGGUAAAUCGUGAGGCUUAACUUCACGAAUUUCGGAUAGACUGCUAAACUUGGGACCGGGGGAGGUCAGAGGAACUCCAGGGGUAGCGGUGAAAUGUUGUAAUCCUUGGAGGACCACCGGUAGCGAAGGCGUCUGACUAGAACGGGUCCGACGGUGAGGGACGAAGCCCUGGGGCGCAAACCGGAUUAGAUACCCGGGUAGUCCAGGGUGUAAACGAUGUGGGCUUUGUAUUGGAGGUCCCACGUGGGCGUCCAGUGCAGGAGAGAAGUUGUUAAGCCCACCGCCUGGGAAGUACGGUCGCAAGGCUGAAACUUAAAGGAAUUGGCGGGGGAGCACAGCAACGGGAGGAGCGUGCGGUUU
rnacentral:rRNA from 1 species